UACGUAGGGGGCGAGCGUUGUCCGGAUUCAUUGGGCGUAAAGAGCUCGUAGGCGGCUUGGCAAGUCGGGUGUGAAAACUCCAGGCUCAACCUGGAGACGCCACCCGAUACUGCCAUGGCUUGAGUCCGGUAGGGGACCACGGAAUUCCCGGUGUAGUAGUGAAAUGCGUAGAUAUCGGGAGGAACACCUGUGGCGAAAGCGGCUCACUGGACCGCAACUGACGCUGAGGCGCGAAAGCUAGGGGAGCAAACAGG
rnacentral:rRNA from 1 species